GAUUGCAUAAUGUCAUAAUCCCCUCAUUUUCGUUGCAAAAAGUCACAAAUAACUUAGCAGAAAGUUGAAAAAUGUUGCGUUUACUUCACAUAAGAGCUGCUAUUUCCCCCUGUUGCCAUGGGAACGUUAUGAAGUGACGUAAUUACGCGACAAGACAAAUCAACGAAAAGCAGGCGGU